rnacentral:rRNA from 1 species
AGUCGAACGAACUCUGGUAUUGAUUGGUGCUUGCAUCAUGAUUUACAUUUGAGUGAGUGGCGAACUGGUGAGUAACACGUGGGAAACCUGCCCAGAAGCGGGGGAUAACACCUGGAAACAGAUGCUAAUACCGCAUAACAACUUGGACCGCAGGGUCCGAGCUUGAAAGAUGGCUUCGGCUAUCACUUUUGGAUGGUCCCGCGGCGUAUUAGCUAGAUGGUGGGGUAACGGCUCACCAUGGCAAUGAUACGUAGCCGACCUGAGAGGGUAAUCGGCCACAUUGGGACUGAGACACGGCCCAAACUCCUACGGGAGGCAGCAGUAGGGAAUCUUCCACAAUGGACGAAAGUCUGAUGGAGCAACGCCGCGUGAGUGAAGAAGGGUUUCGGCUCGUAAAACUCUGUUGUUAAAGAAGAACAUAUCUGAGAGUAACUGUUCAGGUAUUGACGGUAUUUAACCAGAAAGCCACGGCUAACUACGUGCCAGCAGCCGCGGUAAUACGUAGGUGGCAAGCGUUGUCCGGAUUUAUUGGGCGUAAAGCGAGCGCAGGCGGUUUUUUAAGUCUGAUGUGAAAGCCUUCGGCUCAACCGAAGAAGUGCAUCGGAAACUGGGAAACUUGAGUGCAGAAGAGGACAGUGGAACUCCAUGUGUAGCGGUGAAAUGCGUAGAUAUAUGGAAGAACACCAGUGGCGAAUGCGGCUGUCUGGUCUGUAACUGACGCUGAGGCUCGAAAGUAUGGGUAGCAAACAGGAUUAGAUACCCUGGUAGUCCAUACCGUAACGAUGAAUGCUAAGUGUUGGAGGGUUUCCGCCCUUCAGUGCU